AGCACUUGCUUACAUUAAAUUGGAUGAAUAUGAUGAACCAUAAAAUACUUUUUAGUUAAAAGGACAUUUUUAACAAAUAUAAAAAAGCUAUAGAAUACAUACAAACUCACUAUCUGACGAAACAAUGUAAUAGUGUGGAGAGUCUAGAUAAGGAUAUAAAUAAACUUAAAAAUCAAAUUGCCACAAUUGAUAAUAUUAAAGUUUGAAUGAAGAAUUUUCCUUAAAAGAGCGUAUGAUUAAAAUAAUUUUAAUUUUUUUAAGCAUUUUACUAUAUAAAUAUAAAAAUAAUUAAGUAUUACUAAAGAAUCUGUAUUAAAUAUUCAAUAAAUUUUAUUAAAAUUUUAA